rnacentral:rRNA from 1 species
UACGGAGGAUCCAAGCGUUAUCCGGAUUUAUUGGGUUUAAAGGGUGCGCAGGCGGCCUGUUAAGUCAGGGUGAAAGACGGUAGCUCAACUAUCGCAGUGCCCUUGAUACUGACGGGCUUGAAUUGACUAGAGGUAGGCGGAAUGUGACAAGUAGCGGUGAAAUGCAUAGAUAUGUCACAGAACACCGAUUGCGAAGGCAGCUUACUAUGGUCUUAUUGACGCUGAGGCACGAAAGCGUGGGAUCAAACAGG